UACGUAGGGUGCAAGCGUUAAUCGGAAUUACUGGGCGUAAAGCGUGCGCAGGCGGUUAUGUAAGACAGAUGUGAAAUCCCCGGGCUCAACCUGGGAACUGCAUUUGUGACUGCAUAGCUAGAGUACGGCAGAGGGGGAUGGAAUUCCGCGUGUAGCAGUGAAAUGCGUAGAUAUGCGGAGGAACACCGAUGGCGAAGGCAAUCCCCUGGGCCUGUACUGACGCUCAUGCACGAAAGCGUGGGGAGCAAACAGG
rnacentral:rRNA from 1 species